rnacentral:lncRNA from 1 species
UUACCCUCCUGCAACAUCAGUAAAACUAUGGGUACUCCAGCAGCAAGAAUGUUGUGUCCCCAGCGCAAGUGGGAUGGAGAAAAGAGCCUGCUGCGAGGCUGCGUUGGUGUGUGGUCCACUGACAGACACUGGGAAGAUACCUUCUUCAUGUUUCGAGACAAGGUGGCCACAUGUGACCUCAGAGAUGGCAUUUUCAAUAGUGGAAUGUGAGGUACUGUGCUGGGGUAAAGAUGGAAUGACUUACCUGCUAUUCCUUUUAUUUAGAGGUGAGUCUAUUUCUUUUCCUACUGAAUCUGGGUUGGCCAGUGAUUUGACACGUAGAAUGUGGCAGAAGUAUUACGUUGGUGCAAAAGUAAUUGCCAGUUUUGCCAUUGAAAGUAAUGGUAAAACUCGCAAUUACUUUUGCACCGACCUAAUAACAUUCUAGGAUGUCUGAGACUCUGUCAUAAGAGCCUUGCAGCUUCUGUAUACUGUAACAUUCAUUCUUGGGUCCAGCUUCCAUGCUCUAAGGAAACAUAAGCAACCUUGAGGAGACUCAUAUGAAGAGGAUCCCAGGCUCCUGGCUGAGCACCCAGCUGACAGGCAGCACAAACCUGCCAGUCACUCAGGUGAGUUCUUUGGGGAGUAUAUUCUCCAACUCCAGCAGAGGCCAAGAGGAGCAGAAUGAGCCAAUACCACUGAGCUCUGCCCACAUUAUUGAUUUGUGAGAAAACUGAAUGAUUGUGGUUGCUUUAAGCACAAAGUUUGGGGGUAGUUUUUUAUGCAGCAAUAGAUGGACAGAACAAGUGCUAAGGCCUUUACACGUUAUCUUUAUUCCUCACAAUGAUCUUAUGAAGAAGCUAUUAUCCUUACCUCAAGA